ACAUAUUUAUCAGAAGACCGUGAAUUACAGCAUGAUGGACCAUGGCAAGUUGUUCUGCGCCAAAAAAUAAACACAAGAAAAUGUUCACUACAUCUUGUAACUCUAGGCUGAGCAACAUCCAACAUUUUCACUCCUGCUUUGCACUAAAGUGGCCAACUCUUCAAUCAUAUAAGGGUACUACAUCAUAUUCCAACCUGAAAAAAGAUCGUGUGUCAAUAGGGUAAAAAAGUAAUAAUACUUCCUUAAUUCACUACCAUUUAACCUUGCAACUCAUUUUGAUAGCCUCGUAAAAUUAAGGCCAUAACCACAUUGUACCUUAGUAUACAACUACCUUUAUCAUCCUCAAGGCUCAAAGAACGGUUGAGGAAGAGAACAACAACAACAACAAUGUGGAAGAGCUAUAUGUCAAGCUCAAAAAGAAAGUAAUUAGCAUCAGCCUCACAGUAAUAAAUACAUUAAUAUAUUAUCGAACAUUACCAACAAUAUAGUAACGAUAAACAAUUGUUAACUUCAAUUAUUGAUGUAAGUCGUUUCAAAGGGAUGAUCUACUCUCAAAUAAACACCAGUUAAAGUAGACAGCUAAAGCUAAACAGAUACCAUAUUCUAAUAUUGGCAAAAGCAAAGAGAAGCUCCAGCAUUAACAAGCCCAUAAAGUAUAUAAUGCGAGUGUUAAAUUACUUCGAAAAGCUAACUAUUACUCAAGGAACAAAAUGAACAGAAAAUACACGGCUGAUUCAAUAAGCCAAUAUCAAACUGGAUAGAUUUUUGCCGCAUUUUUCACAAGUUAGUGAAUCCUAAAAAAGAUUAUGACUCAAGCAGCUAGUGAAAUUCAAUGUAAUUGCUCCAACUGUCCAUCUUUGGCUUUUAAUUUCUAGCUACAAUGAAGAUUUAAUCAAAGAUAUUUACGCAAGUCAAAGUCAAGUGAGACAUACAUCUGUGACCAAAAUAAAUUGGUGACCAUUUGACCCAACUUGAACUUCGACUAAUUUAUAUCAGUAGUUAAAUAUGUAUAUUUCAACUCUGGAUAAGGCUUUAUUUUUAACAAUAUAUGAUAGGUGAUUGACAUUUCAUUGCACCCUUCCAUGCUUUAUCUUCUAGUUCUUUUUCCCCUCAAAACUAAUAUUCAUAUUUUUUAGCUCCUUAACUGCAACAUGUUUCGUAUGCUUGUGCUUUAUAAAAACUAAUUUCAUGCUUUAGAUCUAAAUAAAUCUAUGGGAGCCAAAAAUUAAUAACCAGACAAAGAAUAUCUUUGUUACUUACUUAUGAAAGUGCUUAUUGUCCAAAACUUUUCGGAGCCAAAUUUCAGAAAAAAAUAUGGGAAAUUUUCCUACAUAAUUUUCAGCAGAAAGGUUAAUGUCUCCGAAAGAGAGACUUGAAUUGUUUAAUUAAGUACGGUAUCUUAGUUGUUUUCAUUUAUUUGUUAAACUCAUAUACAAACAUUGCCCAAAGCUAAAGGCCUCAUAUGCGGCAAAUUUAGACAUCAAUAGUUAAACAUCUAUUUUCAACUCAAAUAAGAAGGAUCAUAGGUAUAGUGUUGAAGAUAAAUUACAGUAACACAUUUAUAUACCGAGACACAAAGUAGCAGAUUGACGCCAACAUGGUUACAUUUGUAGAGAAAAUGUUGAAAGAAAGCAUAGUCUACAACAAGCAACCUACAUAACUGAUAUGUACCAGUUUUAUAAUCAAAAAUAGAUAGUAGCAAUUUCAUAAAAAAAAUUCUCAUAUCAUUAAUCAUGUAAAGCGGGAAUUAUAAACUCAAUAAUGAGAACCUUCUUAAUACUUUCAAAUGUAUACUCAAUAUAGAAUUUCUCUAGCAAGUUACCUGGGGGAUCCAAGGUCAAAAUAUCAUCACACUUGAUGUUGGACUCACCAUAUUUGUUUGUCUUCUCCAAUGUGGAUAGGAAAUAAUGUCAAAUAAUUUUAUUGAUGUUCCUAUUUUUAAAGUAUUAAAUGAUAUAAAAAAAGGCAAUGAUUAACUUUCUUUCGAUAUUAACUAUUAUACCCAAUCGGUAGACAUUUGGAAAGUCAGAAGAACCAAUUUCAGAUCGAGAGAACAAAAUUUUAAUAAUUUUUCAGUAAGCAGCAAAUAUCACAAAUAGAGGAUGCACAAAGUCACCAAAAUGCUUAUUUUAAAACAAUACGUUUAAUUGUUAAAUGCUCUUGACUAUAUAUGCACAAUCAUCAUUGUUAUUAAUAAUUCACAACUGAUUCUUUCGUCUUUUGCUUCAAAAUCAAUUGAAGCAUCUCCAAGAAUUCAUUGUAUGUGGUUACCAGAAGCUCCAUUUAGAGAGGCAUACAAUAAUAUGGGAGGUCACAGAAACAUAUGAUUCUUUGUUGGCUAGUGAAAGAGAAGACUUUGAUUUUCAAAUGCAUCUCAACCAAACCACAAAUUUCUUGAACUGCUCCAUAGAAAGAGUAAGCAGAGCAUCAGAGAAGCAUUUGUCUUUUCAGCCUUUCAUGUGGAGAAAACAACAACAACAACAACAACAACCCAGUGUAAUCCCACAAGUGGGAUCUGGNNNNNNNNNNNNNNNNNNNNGGUGGAGACAACCAAGUCAAAACUUACUACCAACGGUUACAUUCCAAUAAAUCAAAGCGACUUUUGAUUCUAGAAAGAAGAUGUAGAGUAGAAAAAAGGUUCAGUUGAAGAAUCCAAUUUAACUCACCGGAAGUAGGACGAAAAGGUCUUACUUGAUGCGUAUUGACCUUCUGGAAAUCAACUAUGUAAAAAUCAAAUAUUCAGAAUCAAACACACUAAAAUAAAAAAAACAAAAAAAAAAACACAAAUGCAAAUAUAAUUUUAUUGGAUUUAUGAAGUAUCUAAAUUACCAAAAUGAAGAUUGUAAAUCGAUAAUCCACUAUGUGAUUUAGACUCGUCAUUGUUGAUUUAGAAUAAAGAAUCUAAAUCGAUACUCUCCAAGUUCUCCGCCUGCACCCCAAAGUAUGUAAUUAGUCUUAACUUUUCACCAGAUUGGUUACUUUAACAUCUCUUUUCAUGCGUUUGGUAAAACCCAUUUCUCAAAAGAAGCCAUAUCGUACGUUACACAAUCAAAAUUUGAAAGAAAAAUCUGAACUCUAAAAAAUAGAAUCGAAUGAUACAUGCUCACUCAGACAGAACAAAACAAACUAAACAGAACACAAAGAUCCACUUAAAAAAGGGCAAAAAUAAAAUUUUAAAAAUUUCAAAAAUCAAGGUCAAAAGCACCAGAAGACUGUUGAAGUAUGAAAAGAAAGUACGGAGGGUGAGUAAGUGAAAGAAGAGAAUACCGUGUAACUGAAAAAUAAUAAUAAGAAGAAGAAGGCGACAAAAUCCGGCCAUGUAGUCACUUGCUGGAGUUCCCGGAAGAUUCAAGCCCCAAAUUAUACCAUUUUGGAAUACUCCAAAUGAACCCUUGAAGUGGUCGUGACAAGUAUAUUACACGUGUUUGAUACGUGAGGUUAUAAGGAUACGAAUGGUGUCAGACAAUUGUUUAUGUUUCUGCUCAUGUUCUGGGCAAUAGAUGCCAUAUAAACAUGAGAAGUUUAAAAGUUUAUCAGAAUCCUUUUGGUAGUAAAUAUAAAGCAAGACAAAACUUUGUGAAGCAUUUUUAGGAUUGAAAGAUUAGGCUCAAUUGUAGUAAUUACCAUGUAAUUAUAUGCUUAUGAACCCAGUCCUUGACAAAGAGUUAAAUUGGGUUUUUC
rnacentral:lncRNA from 1 species